rnacentral:rRNA from 1 species
CCUACGUGUGGCAGCAGUGAGGAAUAUUGGUCAAUGGACGAGAGUCUGAACCAGCCAAGUAGCGUGAAGGAUGACUGCCCUAUGGGUUGUAAACUUCUUUUAUAUGGGAAUAAAAUGUUCCACGUGUGGGAUUUUGUAUGUACCAUAUGAAUAAGGAUCGGCUAACUCCGUGCCAGCAGCCGCGGUAAUACGGAGGAUCCGAGCGUUAUCCGGAUUUAUUGGGUUUAAAGGGAGCGUAGGUGGAUUGUUAAGUCAGUUGUGAAAGUUUGCGGCUCAACCGUAAAAUUGCAGUUGACACUGGAAGUCGUGAGUACAGUAGAGGUGAGCGGAAGUGGUGGUGUAGCGGUGAAAUGCUUAGAUAUCACGAAGAACUCCGAUUGCGAAGGCAGUUCACUGGACUGCAACUGACACUGAGGCUCGAAAGUGUGGGUAUCAAACAGGAUUAGAUACCACAGUAGUC